rnacentral:rRNA from 1 species
AGUCACUGACAUUAGAUACCCGGGUAGUCCAGGGUGUAAACGCUGCCCGACUUGGUGUUGGAGGCCCUUUGGGGGCAUUCAGUGCCGGAGAGAAGUUGUUAAGUCUGCUACUUGGGGAGUACGUCCGCAAGGAUGAAACUUAAAGGAAUUGGCGGGGGAGCACCGCAACGGGAGGAGCGUGCGGUUUAAUUGGAUUCAACACCGUAAACUCACCAGGGAAGACUGUUACAUGAAGGCCGAGAUGAAGACUCUGCUAGAUUUUCAG